rnacentral:rRNA from 1 species
UGGGGAGUAUUGCACAAUGGGGGAGGACCCUGAUGCAGCGACGCCGCGUGAGUGAAGAAGUAAUUCGUUAUGUAAAGCUCUAUCAGCAGGGAAGAAGAAGUGACGGUACCUGAGUAAGAAGCCCCGGCUAACUACGUGCCAGCAGCCGCGGUAAUACGUAGGGGGCAAGCGUUAUCCGGAUUUACUGGGUGUAAAGGGAGCGUAGACGGCGAUGCAAGCCAGAUGUGAAAGCCCGCGGCUCAACUGCGGGACUGCAUUUGGAACUGUAUGGCUGGGAGUGCAGGAGAGGCAGGCGGAAUUCCUAGUGUAGCGGUGAAAUGCGUAGAUAUUAGGAGGAACACCAGUGGCGAAGGCGGCCUGCUGGACUGUAACUGACGUUGAGGCUCGAAAGCGUGGGGAGCAAACAGGAUUAGAUACCC